UGUUCGUUCAGCUUGCACUUGAGUCAAGCCGUUUGCUUAAAAGCAUCUUCGUGACUGUGUCUACCAUCGCCAGGAUGCAAGCAACUGGAGGAAUCAAUUCGUUAAUAGGUUCUAUCAAGGAGUUAUUAUCAAUUGUGUUGUAUGCUGUCAUGCUGUUGCUGUUACUUGAACCGUCUUACCGGAUGCGCACUGAGAUGACACGAACGAAGCUGCUGGUGGCAACAAUCCUGAAUCGCAUAGACUCUCACGCUGACAUGGAAAUUACACAACGGGAUCUCUUGGACGAGUUAUUUCUCUUGAUGAAGAUUCUGCAAUACGAACAGCCGAUCUACUCGGCGUUUGGGAUUUUUUGGCUCG